UUGCGUUCAGCCGGGAGGAAAAAGAGCAACAAGGACAUCCCCAGCCAUCUAACUGCUUCUAACUCUUCAACAAGACUCUUGUUUUAAAAUAUAAUACAUAUUUUGAUUGAAAACAAUUCAGGUAGCGUCACCCACCCUUUUUCCACAGCAAAUGGUUUGGUCCAUGGAUUCGCUCCAGUGCUCCUUGCACACCACAGUGCUCCAACACACAGAUUUGUAAUUUCUGUGAAUGUCAAGCAGCAUUUCGUGUUGUGUGUGUUUUUUUUGUGGGUGUGCAUAACAAAACACACUGCACGAUGACUUACCUCGGCUGGGAAGAAAGCAGGAGCUGCGCUAACGCUGACUGCAUUGAAUGAUAAGAGCUGUAAAUAAGCUGGGCCUGUGUAGACUCCUGAGACCCCCCCCCCUGCACUCUCCCACCCCCACUCUUCCCUCCGACCUCUUUUUCCAUCAAUUGUUCCCAUCACCACUACCCUCCUCAAACUUCCACCCGGACCACCGCCGCUCUCAUCCCUGCUGGAAGGCACCUGGGAGAUGCUCAGAUGAUCCACCGACUGAAACACAUCGUCUACACAGCCCGAGACCGUGACGACUAUCUGCUGUGAUUGCGAGCGUGUCCUCGGAGGGACCCACCUGCCACGUUUGGCAGGAAGCUUGGCAUCUCUCCUCACACCUCCGGCACCGGAGAUGCCCUCGCCUCCCAAUGAUGGAGAGGAUCACGGAGCAUCCCCCGUGAACUUGCUUUCUGUGGGCUCCUAUCACAGCAAGAGGAAGGUGCGCAGCAAAAAGAAGAAGGGCAUCAUCAGCGCCAAUGUCGCCGGAACCAAAUAUGAGAUCGUCCGCAUCGUCAUCAGCGAGAUGGACUUUCUCAAAACGAGAGACGAAGACGAGACCGCCAACCUCAUCUGGAACGAUUCGGCCGUACAGCAUGAGAAAAUUGCUGAGCUGAGGAAUUAUCAGAGAAUUAACCAUUUUCCUGGGAUGGGCGAAAUUUGCCGCAAAGACUGCUUAGCAAGAAACAUGUCGAAAAUGAUUAAGUGCCAGCCUCAAGAGUACAGCUUCAUACCCAAAACUUGGAUAUUCCCCGCUGAGUACACGCAGUUUCAAACCUACGUGAAGGAGCUGCGGCGGAAACGCAAGCAGAAGACCUUCAUCGUCAAACCAGCCAACGGAGCCAUGGGUCACGGGAUCUCACUUAUCCGUAACUGCGAGAAGCUGCCAUCCCAGGAGCACUUUAUCGUGCAGGAGUACUUGGACAAACCCUUCCUGAUGGAGGGCUACAAGUUUGAUCUGCGCAUCUAUAUCCUUGUCACUUCCUGCGACCCGCUACGCAUUUUCCUCUACAAUGACGGCUUGGUGCGCAUGGGGACAGAGAAAUACCAUGCACCCAGCGAGGCCAACCUGAGCCAGCUCUACAUGCAUCUAACCAACUAUUCCGUCAACAAACACAACGAGAACUUCGAGCGAGACGAGACGGUGGACAAAGGCAGCAAGAGAUCCGUCAGCUGGUUCACAGAGUUCCUGCGCACCAAUGACUACGACGUGGCCAAGUUCUGGGGAGACGUCUCGGAGUUGGUCGUGAAGACGUUAAUUGUGGCAGAGCCCCAUGUUCUGCACGCAUACCGCAUGUGCCGUCCCGGUCAGCCACCAGGGAGCGACAGUGUCUGCUUUGAGGUCCUGGGCUUUGACAUCAUCCUGGACCGCAAGCUUAAACCUUGGCUCCUUGAGAUCAAUCGAGCACCAAGCUUUGGGACCGAUCAGAAGAUUGAUUUCGAUGUGAAGAGAGGAGUUCUGCUUAACGCUCUCAAACUGCUCAACAUCAGAGCCAGUGAUAAAAAACGCAACUUGGCUCAGCAAAAAGCAGAGGCCCAGAGGCGGCUCUACGGGCACGGAUCUGUAAAGAAACUCUCAGCUGCGUCAUCGGACUGGGAGAGACAGCGUCACACCCUGGAGCGACGGCGAGAAGAGCUGAAAGAGCGACUGGCGCAGGUGCGCAAGCAGAUCUGCAGAGAGGAGCACGAAAAACAACAUCUGGGCAACUACCGACGUAUUUACCCCCCAGACGACAAGCUGCUGUUGGAGAAGUAUGAAAGCCUGCUCUCCGCCGCCUUUCAGACCUUCCUCGCCGGGCGAGCUGCCUCGCUUCAGAAGGAAAUGAAUAAUCCUCUGAAACAAAUGAAGGAGGAGGACAUCUUGGAUCUGCUGGAGCAAUGUGAACUGGACGACGAGAAGCUGAUGGGCAAAUCCUCCAGGCAACGGGGCCCUAAGCCCUUAACCACCAUGCCGGAGUGCAGCCAAACGCCACGACGUCAACGGCCAGACUACCUGGCUGACUUCACCAGCGGCAGCAGCGCUGAAAACUCCUGCUCUUCGUCAGAUGAAGAAGAGAGGAGGAAAGCAGGAGGGGGAGGCGGCGAAAAGAGGGAGAAGAAAGUCUCAUAUGACCUUGGGCUCAAGGAGAAGAACUUAGCCGAGCGCUCAGGCCGAAUGCAUUGGAAGCCAGCAGUCAAGCCGAUGAAAACCGGUCCGGCCCCUUCCGUUUCCCCGACUCUCUCCGGCCCAAUCAGGCGCUCCAUCUCCUGUCCUCGUUCCAUCGCUUCCCUCUCGUCGCCCAGUGAAGUGCGAGCUCUGUCCACAAGGCCCUCCCCCAAUGUUCCUGUCAUCACCACCCUUGUCCGGCCCAGCUCCGCCACGCUACGCUCUCACUCGCUGAGCCGCAGUGGCUCAGCCCACCGCGUGCCUCACAGCAACAGCUUGGGAACCAUCCAUGCCAGCAUGGGAGAUCCACUAAUUAACCUGAGGAGUAAAGAGCAGGAGGCGGAACUCGUGCGUCAAACACUGAUUGCGCUGAUGGCCAUGAGGAUCCGAUUUCCUGGCAAAACGGAGGAAGAGGCCGAGGCGGUGCUGGAUGAGAUCCUUGACAACUGGAAGUACCAUAAACCAAAGGUAGCCUCCUACUGGCUCGUGAAGCUGGACUCCACCAAACAACGGAAGGUUUUGGACAUUGUGAGGACCAAUGUGCGCUCUGCACUGCAGCGGAUCUGGAAGGAGCCCGAUCUGGAAAGCCUUCACCUGUGCCGCCUCUUUAACCGCGUCUUCAACCGACUACUUUGGAGUCACGGCCAGGGACUGUGGAACUGUUUCUCCAACUCCGGUUCAUCAUGGGAGAGCAUCUUCAGUAAGAGCAGUGAGGUGGUUUCGCCUCAGGAACUGCAAUGCUGCCGCAGACUGGUGCAGCUGUGCCGAGACUGUUUAUUGGUCGUCUACAAGUUUGUCUCCGAGUCCCGGGGCUCUUUGACUGGGCUCAGCCCGGAAUGGGACGACACCAGAGAUAAGGUGAGAAGCACUGUUAUCCAGGAGAACCUCUGCUAAGGAGCCAGAUGAGGUGGCUCGGGCAUCUGAUCGGGAUGCCUCCUGGACGCCUCCCUGGGCCGGUGUUUAGGGCACGUCCGACUGGUACUGGAACGCUGUUAGCAGGAGCUGCCUCACUGCUCUGUCUCGGUGGAAGGUGUCAUAGGAAGGUCUUAGAGAGGUACUGACGUCGGUGCCGCCGCCGAAUGAUAGGUAUCUCCUGCCAGUGACCUCCCAGUUCAUGAAGUGGCCUUCAUCCAACACCUCAGCCGCGCCACGCUCACGCAGCCUUUUCGCCGCCAGGAUGGGCCGCUUUUGAGGUCACCGCCACCGCCUUUGACUUUCUCCCAGCCAAACUCUGGACGAUCUCAGUGUGUGUGUUUUUUUUUAACUCGGAGUACCUGACGGGGCUUGAUGAACGCCAGGCAAAGAGAAAGAACAACAACAAGCCAGAGGGUUUGCGACGAAAAAAGCUUCCAUUUAGGUCGGCGGUGCCAACAGACCACCUGAACGUUGCCUUCACCCCAAGAACAGCAGACCGCUCAAAUUGUAAUUGUUUUAUUUUAACAACGCACUGCAGUGACCAGUCUUGGUACCGACAAAGGAAACUGGACCUACCUAUCUAACGAAGCAAGGAUUUUAUUUAUGGAUCUAUUUAUUUUUUUCAGAUGUUCCACGAAUGCAGUGAAUGCGGACGCAGAAUGUCGUUACGGAAUGAUAAGAGCUAUGAGUUGCAAAUCUUAUUUUUCGCUGGCUGUUUUUAAUGUUUUAUUUCUCUAUUCACAGGGAAUUUUACUUAUUUUUCUCUGAGUCUUUAUCUUUAUAGCGACUUUAUGACCCACUUUGCAGAGGGGACAUCCUAUUAAGUGUGGAUUUGUUUUUUUUCCAACAACAGAAUGUACUGUAAGUGUGUUGCCACAUAGAGAACACGGCGUCUCGCCGAGCACUUAGUUCCAAAUAUGCACUUUGCAGUUUGUCCCAGAAAGAGAAUGAGAACAUUUUUUUAAUGGGUCCACUUUGCAGUCGUGCUUGCAUGCUUAGACUUUAGCCUGCGAGACAGAGGAGCUGAGUUGGGAUGAUACUUGAAAUUAGUCCCCCCCUCCCCCAAACAUUUCCCUUUAACAUUUACAGAAGGUCCUCGGGUUACGACUGUCCAUGUUUACAUACUGUAUGCAAACUUACCGUAUUUUCUGGACUAUAAGUCGCUCCGGAGUAUACACUACUGCUGAAAAGUUUGGGAUCACUUGGAAAUUUCUUGGGGGCUUUUUCUUGGCAGUCCUGCUAUGAAGUCCAGCAUCCUGAAGUCGCCGCUUCACUGUUGAUACUGACACUGGUGUUUGACGGCUACUAUUUAGUGCAGCUGCCAGGUGACGACCUGUGAGGCGUCUUUGUCUUAAACUACACACUCUCAGAUAUUUGUCUUCUUGCACAGUUGUGCAGCGUUUUUCUGUUCUUGUUAUGCUACGUUCACACCGACGCCGAAUCGAUGGCGAAUUAAAUCGGUGAGCAAAGCGUAACAAAGCUUAAUGAAAGCGUAAAGACCGUAAUACAGCGUAAGAAAGGUUUGAGCAAUUCGGGACAUUCGGCAAGAGCGCCAAAAUCUUUUAAACUGUUUAAAAAUUUGAGGCGAUCUGUCACGAAUUGCGUAAAGCGGGGAGAGCGUAUUAAAGCUUAUCAAAGCGUCACAAAGCUUAUCAAAGUUUUGCUCAAAGUGCAUGAAAGCUUAACAGAGCUUGGUCCAAAGGAUCAAUGGAUCUGCUGCAUCUUUAUAUAUGCUCUGGAUCAGAGGCGGGGUGCAGUCGGGAUCUCGAAAUUUUCCAUUGCGUAACAGAGCUUAACAGAGCCUAUCAAUGCACAAGAGAGCUUGAUAAUCGUAUCAGAGCGUUAUUUAAAGCGUGAUAAGCGCACCAAAGCUUAUCAAUGAGUAUUAAAGCGUAUCAAAGCGUGAUUUAAAGCAUAACAAAUCCUGAUCAAUCGGCAUCAACGAACGAAUUUCGUAUCAGAGCUUAUCAGAGUAUAAACAUAUCUGAGGAGAUCGUGAGAUUUUUUGAAAAAUUUGUCGCCGAUUCAAAGCGCGACAUUCGGCGUUGGUGUGAAUGUAGCAUUAGACCCAGUUUGUGCUGCUCUCUGAAGGGAGUAGUUAACAGCAUGGUAAGAGAUUUUAAUUUUAGUUUAGAUUUUUAGAUGGCUUUUCUUUAGGCCUUUAGGCCUCUAUGCAAAAAUGUACAUCCUUCUUUGAAAAUCAUCUGAUUAAUUUUCAUUGUUUGUGAAAUGGAUACAAAUGUGUGUGAAAUGGAAAAAAUAGUUUGUGAAAUGCAGGAAAAUUUAUUUUUCUUUGGAAAACAAAGAAAUUUGCAAGUGGUCCCAAACUUUUGAGCGGUAGUAUAAGUCGCACAAGGCCAAAAAUGCAUAAUUAGGUUGAAAAAAACAUACAUAAGUCGCACUGGAGUAUAAGUCGCAUUUGACCAAAACAGACUAUUUGACCAGAUCAGACAUUACCUCUUGGAAGGCAAGUUCUAACAAUAACAGAAUAGAAAACAGGCUGAAUAGGUGUAAGAUAUGCUAACACAAUGGUCAUUCAGCUACACAAAAUAUAAACAUGAACAGAAAAGGUGUACAGUGUUUAUGGAACAUAAACAGUUUUUUCAUUUAUAAGUCGCAGGAACAGCCAACCUAUGAAAAAAAGUGCGACUUAUAGUCCGGAAAAUACGGUAAUUUCGGUUCGUAAUCACGAGGAAAAAAAAUAGUUGUAAUCUAACAAGAAAAAAUAACAUUGCAUCAUUUUACUAUUAAUAAGACAGAAUAUAAAAAAAAACUUGAAAAAACUUUUUAAAAGUUAUAAUACUGUAUAAUUAAAAAACAAAAUGAUGAAUAAUGUAAUUUUUGGAAAAUUAGGGUUGUGAAAGAGGAGAAUAAAGUCAAAAUACUAUGGGAAUAACGUCAUAGUUCUGAAAGAAACAUGUCAAAAAUGGAAAAAAACAGUACUUUUACGACAAAGUCCAAAUAUUAAGAAAAAACAUUGCAUUCUAUCGAGAAAAAGUCACAAUUUUACACAAAUAAUCUUGUAAUAUGAAGAAAAAUAAAGUCAUUCUAGUAGCUUAGAGCUGAAAUCUUUAUGAUUUUUUAAAAUUAAGCUGUAAUAUUAUAAAACAAAAUAAAGGUGAAAUUUAUGGAUAAUUAGGUUGGGGGAAAUCAUGGGAAUGAAAUCAAAAUAUUAUGGGAAUAAAAUCAAAAUAUUAUGGGAAUAAAGUCAAAAUUACAAGGAAAAAAUGGUCGAAAUUGUUUGCAAGAAAAGUGGGAAUGAAAUUAAAAUAUUAUGGGAAUGAAGUCACAAGAAGAAAAGGUAUGGAGAUUAUUUAAGAAGAAAGCUGAAAUAUUUGUAAAAUCUAAAAAAAAAACAAGGAAAAAUGGGGGCACGUUGAUAUGAACGACACAUUUUCACUUGAGUGUAUAUAACAAAGGCAUAAAAUUGUUUCAGCCUUUCAUUUUUCACCAUGCUGGUACAAACAAAACAGGCCCAAACAACAUCAGCAACAUCAACACUCCACACAACAGCCAUGUUGCUACAGUAUCGUUGAGCAUGGCAAACCAUCUGCCCCUUAAAGCGACAGUAACAACUAAACUGUCUUUUUUGUGGACCGUGUGAUUGACAUUGGAGUUCAUUUACCAAAAAUCACCGUCUAGGAACGGCAAUCAUACGUAAGCAGAGGAGCAGCUGAGAUGAAGAUGUGUUUUUUUCACUCAUGGAUUGUGUGCAGCUCGUUGACUGAACGGGAUCCGCAGCCCAGAUACUAAAAAUGAAUCAAACACGGAGGAGUGUGCCAGUAAGAAGCACACCUACUUCACGUGUAAAUGCUAAUAUAUCACAAACCAGCGUAGUACUUCAUUGAAGUACGGUAAAAUAAAAGAAAUAAACAUGUUGUUUUUGGA